UACAGAGGUGGCAAGCGUUGUUCGGAAUUACUGGGCGUAAAGGGCGCGUAGGCGGCCUUCUAAGUCAGACGUGAAAUCCCCAGGCUUAACUUGGGAACUGCGUCUGAUACUGGGAGGCUUGAGUGCGGGAGAGGGAUGUGGAAUUCCAGGUGUAGCGGUGAAAUGCGUAGAUAUCUGGAGGAACACCGGUGGCGAAGGCGGCAUCCUGGACCGAGAUUGACGCUGAGGCGCGAAAGCCAGGGGAGCAAACGGG
rnacentral:rRNA from 1 species